GCUCAACCGGGGAGGGUCAUUGGAAACUGGGGAACUUGAGUGCAGAAGAGGAGAGUGGAACUCCACGUGUAGCGGUGAAAUGCGUAGAGAUGUGGAGGAACACCAGUGGCGAAGGUGACUCUCUGGUCUGUAACUGACGCUGAGGCGCGAAAGCGUGGGGAGCGAACAGGAUUAGAUACCCUGGUAGUCCACGCCGUAAACGAUGAGUGCUAAGUGUUAGAGGGUUUCCGCCCUUUAGUGCUGCAGCAAACGCAUUAAGCACUCCGCCUGGGGAGUACGGUCGCAAGACUGAAACUCAAAGGAAUUGACGGGGGCCCGCACAAGCGGUGGAGCAUGUGGUUUAAUUCGAAGCAACGCGAAGAACCUUACCAGGUCUUGACAUCCUCUGACAACCCUAGAGAUAGGGCUUCCCCUUCGGGGGCAGAGUGACAGGUGGUGCAUGGUUGUCGUCAGCUCGUGUCGUGAGAUGUUGGGUUAAGUCCCGCAACGAGCGCAACCCUUGAUCUUAGUUGCCAGCAUUCAGUUGGGCACUCUAAGGUGACUGCCGGUGACAAACCGGAGGAAGGUGGGGAUGACGUCAAAUCAUCAUGCCCCUUAUGACCUGGGCUACACACGUGCUACAAUGCGCAGAACAAAG
rnacentral:rRNA from 1 species